rnacentral:rRNA from 1 species
AUUGAACGCUGGCGGCAGGCCUAACACAUGCAAGUCGAGCGAGCGGCGGACGGGUGAGUAAUGUCUGGGAAACUGCCUGAUGGAGGGGGAUAACUACUGGAAACGGUAGCUAAUACCGCAUACCAUCAGAAGUGCCCAGAUGGGAGUAGCUAGUGGGUGGGGUAACGGCUCACCUAGGCAACGAUCCCUAGCUGGUCUGAGAGGCUGACCAGCCACACGGGAACUGAGACACGGUCCAGACCCCUACGGUAGGCAGCAGUGGGGAAUAUUGCACAAUUGGCGCAGGCCUGAUACAGCCAUGCCGCGUGUGUGAAGAAGGCCUUCGGGUUGUAAAGCACUUUCAGCGGGGAGGCGUUACCCGCAGAAGAAGCACCGGCUAACUCCGUGCCAGCAGCCGCGGUAAUAC